rnacentral:rRNA from 1 species
AGCGCGAAGCACAUCACCUACCCUUGACAUGUCCGUAAGCCAUCAGAGAGGGCCGCGUGCCGGACAGGGAGCCGUAACACAGGUGGUGCAUGGCAGUCGUCAGCUCGUGUCGUGAGAUGUUGUCCUAAGUCCAGCACGAGCCGCAACCCUUGUCCCUAGCUGGUAAGCAAGGGCACUCUAGGGAGACUGCCUGGGUUAACCAGGAGGAAGGUGAGGAUGACGUCAAGUCCGCAUGGCCCUUAUGUCUGGGGCUACACACGUGCUACAAUGGUCGGUACAGAAGGCAGCGAAACCGCAAGGCGGAGCAAAUCCCAAAAGCCGAUCUCAGUUCAGAUUGUAGUCUGCAACUCGACUACAUGAAGACGGAAUUGCUAGUAAUGGCGUGUCAGCAACAACGCCGGAAUACGUUCCCGGUCUGACACCCAAGG